rnacentral:rRNA from 1 species
UACAGAGGGUGCGAGCGUUAAUCGGAAUUACUGGGCGUAAAGCGCGCGCAGGCGGCUUUGCAAGUCAGAUGUGAAAUCCCCGGGCUUAACCUGGGAACUGCAUUUGUGACUGCAUGGCUGGAGUGCGGCAGAGGGGGAUGGAAUUCCGCGUGUAGCAGUGAAAUGCGUAGAUAUGCGGAGGAACACCGAUGGCGAAGGCAAUCCCCUGGGCCUGCACUGACGCUCAUGCACGAAAGCGUGGGGAGCAAACAGG